rnacentral:misc_RNA from 1 species
GCGAGCUUGACCGUCGGCAUCACCCAACGAGGGGCGCGGGCAGCAGCGCGCACAAUGUUCACUUCCAUCGGAGGGUUGAUGUGUUCAGCUCUCAUUUAACAAAAACUGAGUUGGACAAUGCCAGAGGCUAAAAUAACCUUAGUAAUACGACCGAAGGUAUCUGGUAUCCUGAAUCAA